AGACGAAGCCCGUGAGUGUAAUAAAGCAAUGCCUUACCUUUCCAUAAAGCUCCAUUUAUUCUCACAACUUCAGAAAUGUGGAUAAGGAUGGUCGUACGAUCAAAGAAAGAACAAUGUCGAUGUUAUCGUCUUGGUUGGCAAGUUGAAGAGAUAUUUGUUCACACAUUCACGUUUCAGUCCUCAGCUGCUUCCCGUGUGUCACCCCUCCAGAUCUGCCAGCAAUAUAAUCUGAACUACAGAGAAGGCAAACGGAAACUCAGGACCGCGCGUGUCAUGCUGCUGCUCGGAACAACGCGCAUCUGUCAACUCUUUACAUCCGUUGUGAUUAGAUGUUUAUUUACGUGGGGAACAGAAAUAACGAGAAGCUGGCAUUCGCAAGGAGAACUUGUAGAAGGAUUGAUAAGAAUGGGACAUGGUCGGCUGCUCAGAUGAAUUGCAGCGAGAAACUGCGGAACAAAGACCAAGUGGCGUCCAGGGCUGGCUGUCUAAGGAACAUUGUGAAAAGGAGCUGAUCCAAUAAAGCAACGGGCGACAGAAGAUGCUGCCACACCUGCUGAAUUCCUCCAGAAUGUUACGUUUUUAAUUCAUCUACAUGGGCUCUGCCGAACAGUUUGUCUGGCUGGGAUGUGCUGGCCUCACACACAGGAACCAGCUGCUUUGCUGUAAUGUCUGUUUUACAACAUAUAAUAUGUUUUGCUCUUUUAAAUACACUCAGCCUUGGAGUUAAUCAGACCCUGAUGAAUAAUUGAUUUUUAGGCUAUUAUCAUUAAUUUAACAGCUUCCUGCUACCUUUGUUGGGAUUAUAGCUGAUACUCUUAAAAGAUUGAGUGAAUACUUUGUGUUGUACGUUGAUCAUAGGUCUGAAACGGACCGAGAAAUCCUGACACGGAUCAAUGUGUUAGUUUCACUGGCCUUGUUCCUGGUGCCAUUCAUUUCGAGUGAUAUGUGUUCACAGAAGGCAAA